GUCUGUCUGUCUGUCUGCCUGUCUGCCUGUCUGCCUGUCUGCCUGUCUGCCUGUCUGCCUGUCUGCCUGUCUGCCUGUCUGCCUGUCUGCCUGUCUGCCUGUCUGCCUGUCUGCCUGUCUGCCUGCCUGCCUGCCUGCCUGCCUGCCUGCCUGCCUGCCUGCCUGCCUGCCUGCAGUUCACCAGAGGAGGCACAGAAAGGGACGGCAUGGGGUCUGUACAUCGAAACAACAAACAGAAUCUCAUGCUGUUGCUGUUGACCGCGCCACCCCAGGACUCCAAGACCAGACUACUCUCCAUAAAGAGAUAACCAUACCUUACACCCUUCAGUUUGAAAACUGCGAAAGGGCUAACUUACUGCAGUUUUAACUUUGUCUUAGAUUUACUCUUAAAUUAGAUUUUAGUCUUCGUUACAUUUUUGUCAUUUAAUCUUUUAUUAAUUUUUGUUAUUUUCAGUCAACAAAAACCUGGAACAAUUUCAGGUUAGUUUUAGUCACAUUUUAGUCUGCACAUUUUUUUCUACAUUUAAAUCAUUCAUAUUUACCUCUUACUUGCAUCAUGUGCACACUUAGCUCUCAAAAGCCCUUCUCUGUAGGAUAUUCAGCGGUUAACUUCGGUCACUACUGGCUCCAUGUGAACUGCAAUGCUGGCGCUGUGUUUUAACUUUUAGAAACGUCAAUAAUCAUCAGAUGCAAAAUGGUUUUCGAAGCAUCUUUCAUAUCUGAGAGAAAUAUUCUUAAAAAAAAAAAAGAUACACUUACUUACCAAGAUUUGCACAGAUCCAUAAGCUGUGUGUCUCCAGCCGGCAAACUACACUUCCGCUACACUUCCUCCCCAGUUAUGCUUACACACAGGUGUUCGGCGCAUGCUAGAUAGCUUAUGAGCACAGAUGUUUGCCUAAGUCUUCCGUAAAACAAGUGCUGUAACUUUGAGAUAUGGCCGUGUGGGAGCACCAAUCUUAACCCUAUAAAGGUGUGUAGUAAUUUAACCCUCAGUUUAAAAAAAAAAAUCUCACUGAUAUGAAAGAUUCCUCAUGUUUCUAAAACCUUGCCGCAAGCGAUGCCUGUCAACGUUCAGAGCGAGCGUCGGGUCCCCAGGAAAAAGAUACUAUCCUGAAUAUGUGCUAAAGGUAGUUAGCAUUUUUGAAUGGACUCACAUAGCCUUGUCCAACUAGGCCUACUAUCGCUUUGUAGGCUAUACCUUAGCUGGAAACAUUAUAACCAAUGCCAGCCAUAAUUUAAGGAUAUAAAGCCUACAGGUUAAGAAAUUUAGAUCAGAUUUUCUCCACAUAAUAACCAUCAGAGUUGGUUAAAUAACAGUGCUUUCCUUGAAAAUAGGAGAAUAUGAGCUCUCCCACAAUGCCAGAAGUAUUACUAUACUCCUAAUAUUCAGCAAAAAUCAUUCGUUUUCCCAAUUGGAAAAAGCAACUGCAACUCGCUAUUGCCAACAAAGAUGAAUAAAAGCGCACAUGGCACAAUAGACCUUCUGAUAAGAUCAGAGCAAAAAUGACCUAACUGAAAGCAAAGAUUUAAAAUACAUUAUUGUUUCUAAUUGAGGUUAAUUUGUUACAAUUUAUGUAUCCUGUCUGCGCAUCAGCUCAUUGGGAGCUAUGUUUGUGGGAGAGCCAUAUCAAUACAACCAGCCCAUGCAACAGAAAGAUGUUAUCGGCUAAUGAGAGGAUUGCAUUAUAUAUUCUGCACAGGGAUGCAUGCUUAUAAUUGGACAAAACAGAUUUAAAGGAGUUUCAUGUGAAAUUGAAUGUCCAUUUUCGUCAACUAAAAUGAAAAGUAAUUGGUAAUAGUUAUAGUUUUUUACAGAGCAUUUCGUCUCAUCAUUAGUUUCCUCAGGAAAAAUAGGUUGUUGACUACGGAGAGUUCAAAAAUGCAAUGCUUAAAUGCUAAAUAGGAAUGUGAAAAUGAUAAAUGAAUUUUUAUGUUCAUAUCAGUGUGCAUAAUUCAUACCACAAUUGAAUUACAAAGUUAAAAUGAAAAUAGAAAAUGAUUAAAUGAAAAUUGGAAAUGGUAAACAGAAAUUCUAAAUAAAUCGCUAAAUGGAAAAAGACAAAUGGUAAACAGAAAACCAUAAAUUUAAAUUGCAUAGUGUCUGUUUUCAUUUUCCAACUACUCAAUUAAACAUUUUCUCUUUUAAAUUAGAAUUUUCAUUGUGUAUGCAAAUUUCUUCUUGGAGGCAUGAGCCAGGAGAGCAACACCACACCCCCAUACAGUAGUACAUCCAAGCCAUACAGGGCUCUCUGUACAUUGACUUUAGACUAGUGUAACCAACACACAGCGUGCGAACUGACCCAGGUCUCCUGCGCACCAGAAAAGUAUAGACCUGCUAAGCUGAAGCCUAGGCAUUGACUCAGGGAGCGAAUGCAACUCUUCAGGUCUCAGUCAAGGUUAGACCUACUCAUCAUGCAUGUGUGUUAACGGAACCAUCUCAGUUACAAUUCACCAUCCUUUGAACUCCUCCGAGAACCUUCUGAGCGAUGGCACAAAUAUGACUGACAGGGUUCGAACAAGGGUGUUUUGCACAUCAGAAGAGCGCAUUGAGUAUGAUGGCGCCGUCAGAGAUGGUCGCCUCGCUUCAGGUCCUUAGGAAAACUAUGCAGUAAUUUGUUUUUUUAAAUGUAUUAUUUCUUGCAUUGUUAGCCCAGAAAAUCUCAAGUGUUAUUACACACAGCCGGGAAGAACUAUUGGAUAUAAAAGCGACGUCAACUUACCAACAUACCGACCAGGAAUACGACUUUCCCGAAGCGGAUCCUUUGUUCUUAUCCCAGAAGCCGAUCCAAAACAAUGCAGUCACCGCAGGAGAGGCUGACGGAGCGGCCUACUGGUCAGACAUAGAAGGCGAGCACACCAUACACCACAUCCAAGCAUAUUACUUGCCAAUGUCCAAUCUCUAGACAACAAGGUGGACGAAAUUAUUGCACGAGUUGCCUUCCAGAGAGGCAUCAGAGAUUGUAACACUCUGUUUCACGGAAACAUGGCUCACCCGGGAUAUGUUGUCAGAGUCGGUACAGCCACCCGGUUUCUUUACGCAUCGCGCCGACCGAAACAAACAACUCUCUGGUAAGAAGAAGGGCGGGGGUGUAUGCCUUAAGAUUAACGACUCAUGGUGUGAUCAUAACAACAUACAGGAACUUAAGUCCUUUUGUUCACCUGACCUAGAAUUCCUUACAAUCAAAUGUCGACUGCAUUAUCUACCAAGGGAACUAUCUUCGAUUAUAGUCACAGCCGUGUAUAUCCCCCCCCAAGCAGAUACCUCGAGGGCCCUGAAAGAACUUCACUGGACUCUAUGUAAACUGGAAACCAUACAUCCUGAGGGUGCAUUUAUUGUAGCUGGGGAUUUAAAAAAAGCUAAUCUGAGAUCAAGGCUUCCUAAAUUCUAUCAGCAUAUCGAAUGCGCUUCACGGGCUGGUAGCAUUCUCGACCAUUACUACUCUAACUUCCGCGAUGCAUACAAAGCCCUCCCCUGCCCUGCCUUCGGCAAAUCUGUCCAUGACUCCAAUUUGUUGCUCCCAGCCUAUAGACAGAAACUAAAACAGGAAACGCCCGUGCUCAGGUCUAUCCAACGCUUGUCUGACCAAUUGGAGUCCACACUUCACGAUUGCUUUGAUCACGUGGACUGGGAUAUGUUCCGGGCAGCCUCAGACAACAACAUUGAUGUAUACGCUGACUCUGUGAGCAAGUUUAUUAACAAGUGCAUUGGUGAUGUUGUACCCACUGUGACUAUUAAAACAUUCCCUAACCAGAAACAGUGGAUUGAUGGCAGCAUUCGCACAAAACUGAAAGCGUGAACCACCGCUUUUAAUCAGGGCAAGGCGACUGGAAACAUGACAGAAUACAAAUGGUGUAGCUUUUCCCUUCGACAAGGCAAUAAAACAAGCAAAGCGUCAGUAUAGAGACAAAGUAGAGUCAAAAUUCAACGGCUCAAACAUGAGAUGUAUGUGGCAGGGUCUACAGUCAAUCAUGGAUAUAAAAAGAAAACCAGCCCUGUCGUGGACAUCAACAUCUUGCUCCCAGACAAAUCAAACAACUUCUUUGCUCGCUUUGAGGACAAUACAGUGCCACUGACACGGCCCGCUACCAAAGCCAGGGGGCUCUCCUUCAUUGUGGCCAACUUGAGUAAAACAUUUAAGCAUGAUAGCCCUCGCAAGGCUGCCAGCCCAGACAGAAUCCCUAGCCAGCCGCAUCCUCAGAGCAUGCAUAUUCAAUCAAUCCCUAUCCCAGUCUGCUGUUCCCACAUGCUUCAAGAUGGCCACCAUUGUUCCUGUUCACAAGAAAGCUAAGGUAACUGAACUAAAUGACUAUCAUCAUUUAUAAUAACUCACUUCUGUCAUCAUGAAGUGCUUUGAGAGACUAGUCAAGGAUCAUAUCACCUCCACCUUACCUGUCACCCUAGACCCACUCCAAUUUGCUUACCGCCCCAAUAGGUCCACAAACGACGCAAUCUCCAACACACUGCACACUGCCCUAUCCCAUCUGGAAAAGAGGAAUACCUAUGAAAAAAUGCUAUUCAUUGACUACAGCUCAGCAUUUAACACCAUAGUACCGUUCAAACUCGUCAUUAAGCUCGAGACCCUGGGUCUUGACGCCGCCCUGUGCAACUGGGUCCUGGAGUUUGACGGGCCGCCCACAGGUGGUGAGGGUAGGAAACACAUCAGGAAACACACCCGCUGAUCGUCAACAUUGGGGCCCCACAAGGGUGCGUUCUCAGCCCUCUCCUGUACUCCCUGUUCAUCCAUGACUGCAUGGCCAUGCAUGCCUCCAACUCAAUCAUCAGCAGACGACACUACAGUGGUAGGCUUGAUUACCAACAACGAUGAGACGGUCUACAAGGAGGAGGGGAGGGCCCUCGGAGUGUGGUGUCAGGAAAAUAACCUCUCACUCAAGUCAACAAAACAAAGGAGAUGAUCGUGGACUUCCCCCCGCAACAGCGCCUCUUCAACCUCAGGAGGCUGAAGAAAUUUGGCUUGUCCCCUAAAACACUCACCAAAUUUUACAGAUGCACAAUCGAGAGCAUCCUGUCUGGCUGUAUCACUGCCUGGUACGGCAACUGCUCCGUCCAUAACCGUAAGGCUCUCCAGAGGGUAGUGUGGUCUGCACAACGCAUCACCGGGGACAAACUACCUUCCCUCCAGGACACCUACAGCACCCGAUGUCACAGGAAGGCCAAAAAGAUCCUCAAGGACAACAACCACCAGAGCCACUGCCGGUUCACCCCGCUAUCAUCCAGAAGGCGAGGUCAGUACAGGUGCAUCAAAGCUGGGACCGAGAGACUGAAAAACAGCUUCUAUUUCAAGGCCAUCAGACUGUUAAACAGCCAUCACUAACAUAGAGUGGUUGCUGCCAACAUACAGACUCAAGUCUCUUGCCACUUUAAUACAUUUAAUAAUGAUAUCACUAGUUACUUUACAAAUAGUCACUUUAAUAAUGUCUACAUAUCCUACAUUACUCAUCUCAUAUAUAAAUACUGUAUUCUAUACCAUCUACUGCAUCUUGCCUAUGCUGCACGGCCAUUGCUCAUCCAUAUAUUUAUAUGUACAUAUUCUUAUUCAUUACAUUUACAUUUAAGUCAUUUAGCAGACGCUCUUAUCCAGAGCGACUUACAAGUACAUACAUUCAUACUUUUUUUUUUUUUUUUGUACUGGCCCCCCGUGGGAAUCGAACCCACAACCCUGGCGUUGCAAGCGCCAUGCUCUACCAACUGAGCCACACGGGGCCCCCUCUACCAACUGAGCCACACGGGGCCCCCUUAUACACACAUUAGUGUGUAUAAGGUAGUUGUUGAGAAUUUGUUAGAUUACUUGUUAGAUAUUACUGCACUGUCGGAACUAGAAGCACAAGCAUUUCGCUACACUCGCAUUAACAUCUGCUAACCAUGUGUAUGUGACCAAUAAAAUUUGAUUUGGUUUGAUUAGUCCGCUAAACCAAAGUCUGGUUCCCCAAGCUACAUUGCCUAAGCUUUGACUUAGCAGGCUAAAAUGUUAUUCUUGUUUAGAAGACACCAGGUUUGAACCCCUUCGUUAACAGAGCGCAUGACAUGUCAAAAAUGUACAACUGCAGGUGGUGUUGUGUUUCUCUCCUGGUCCAAACCUCCAAGGAGCAAUUUGCAUACAGAUUGAAAAUGAAAAAAGAAAAAGACAAUAGAACAUGCUAAAUGGGCAGUUGUAAAAUAAAAAAAAGCCACUUUCCACAUUGCAUUUACCAUUUUCUGUUAAUCAUUUUAGAAAUUAUUUUAACCGUUUCCAAUUUUCAAUAAACCAUUUUCAAUUUUCAUAUUAACAUUAUCAUUUUAUUGUGACAUGAAUCAUGUGCACCCAUAUGCAAAUAUGAAUGCAUUUAUCAUUUUUGCUUAUCAAUUGAGCAUUUAAGCAUUGCAUUUUCGAAUUGAUCACCCGAGUAAUUAGUUGUUGACAAAAUGAACACGGACUUACGGACAGAAUUCACAGCCUAAACAUUGCACUUAGGCCUCAGCCUAAAUAGAUAGACUUGUUACAAGAAGCCAAUAAAUAGUUAUAAAGCUAAAAUAAGUUCUCGGUUUAUUGUGGUGGAACUGCGUACAGGAGUUGACUGAUAUUUCAGACGCUUUUGUGUUGUGUGUACAGUAUAUAGUAUGUUUUAAUAUAUUUAACUUUAACUUUAUGAGGAAAAAUGUUACUGUAUGUGAUGUAUGUGAUGGUUGUAAUACAUGUUUUAUAAUAUUUAGCAUUUAUAUUCCACAUAAACUCAUAUUGCUGCCAUUUCUGUGUUUCUGUGCAUUUGAAGAACUGUAAUAAAAGCCUAGUUAUUUUA